rnacentral:rRNA from 1 species
AGUCGAGCGAAUGGAUUAAGAGCUUGCUCUUAUGAAGUUAGCGGCGGACGGGUGAGUAACACGUGGGUAACCUGCCCAUAAGACUGGGAUAACUCCGGGAAACCGGGGCUAAUACCGGAUAACAUUUUGCACCGCAUGGUGCGAAAUUCAAAGGCGGCUUCGGCUGUCACUUAUGGAUGGACCCGCGUCGCAUUAGCUAGUUGGUGAGGUAACGGCUCACCAAGGCAACGAUGCGUAGCCGACCUGAGAGGGUGAUCGGCCACACUGGGACUGAGACACGGCCCAGACUCCUACGGGAGGCAGCAGUAGGGAAUCUUCCGCAAUGGACGAAAGUCUGACGGAGCAACGCCGCGUGAGUGAUGAAGGCUUUCGGGUCGUAAAACUCUGUUGUUAGGGAAGAACAAGUGCUAGUUGAAUAAGCUGGCACCUUGACGGUACCUAACCAGAAAGCCACGGCUAACUACGUGCCAGCAGCCGCGGUAAUACGUAGGUGGCAAGCGUUAUCCGGAAUUAUUGGGCGUAAAGCGCGCGCAGGUGGUUUCUUAAGUCUGAUGUGAAAGCCCACGGCUCAACCGUGGAGGGUCAUUGGAAACUGGGAGACUUGAGUGCAGAAGAGGAAAGUGGAAUUCCAUGUGUAGCGG